CGUAGUCUAUCGAAGGGUCGUUCCACGUCAGUUUUACAUUAAUCUUCCCUAUGAUGGGUUUGUGGGACUUGGAUUACCUCUGCCAGCCAAUAUUGAUGCAGUGGGUGCUGUUCCUAUCUGGAUGACACUGAUGAACCAGGGUUUGCUACGAAUCAACCUGUUUUCACUUUACCUGCGAAAUUAUUAUUUUCAUGGCAAUGAUGGUGGAAGCCUAAUCUUUGGAGGUGUCAGUCAGGAACAUUACGAAGGUCACCACCAAUAUUUUGAUCUCGUCGACAACUCUAACCAGUGGAAGAUUCAUAUGUAUUCGGUUUCGGUUGCGGGUCAUCUAGCACAAUACUGUGAUAAAGUUCUGAUAGACAGUGGUUGCGAGUACAUUUAUGGGCCUCCUGUAAGUAUCAAGGAGUAUAUUUACUUAAAAGUUAAUUUAGAAUUUUUUUUCUUUUCUAAUGUAAAUAUUUAUGGAUUCUCAUGUCUUGUUUGCAACUUGU